AUACUAGGGUGGCAGGAGAGAUAUCAUGAUCAAGAGGGUGGUUCACCCACGGUAAUGCUCAGCUGCUGCACUCCGGUUGUGCUGACUCUUAAGAAUUCCCCAAUUGAGAGUCUCGACUGCAUAAGUUCUUGUUCGGGGACUGGACUUGCGCUCUCCCCUG